rnacentral:rRNA from 1 species
GAUGAACGCUAGCGGCAGGCUUAAUACAUGCAAGUCGAGGGGCAGCGGGAGUAGCAAUACUUGCCGGCGACCGGCGCACGGGUGCGUAACACGUAUACAAUCUGCCUCCAACAUGGGGAUAGCCCGGAGAAAUUCGGAUUAAUACCCAGUAAUAAAUGAACUGGCAUCAGUUUAUUUUGAAAGCUACGGCGGUUGGAGAUGAGUAUGCGUCUGAUUAGCUAGUUGGUAGUGUAACGGACUACCAAGGCGACGAUCAGUAGGGGAUCUGAGAGGACUACCCCCCACACUGGUACUGAGACACGGACCAGACUCCUACGGGAGGCAGCAGUAAGGAAUAUUGGACAAUGCCCGCAAGGGUGAUCCAGCCAUGCCGCGUGCAGGAAGACGGCCCUAUGGGUUGUAAACUGCUUUUGAACAAGAGAAAACCCUUCUACGUGUAGAAGGCUGAUAGUAUUGUUAGAAUAAGCAUCGGCUAACUUCGUGCCAGCCGCCGCGGUAA